GGCUAUUCCAUCCUUCUUGUGUUGCAGUUUCCGGAGUUAAUCUUGGAGACUAAUAGAUUCUCCUCUACUUGGGACUCAAUGGACCAUCGUUACCUCCCGCAGUCCUGUGAACCACACAGUUAUUAGCAGAUUAUAUUCGAAAACUAGUUCCUAAUCUUCUAGAAUGCUUUCAUCAGUUAUUUCUCGAUCUUCAACUUUCUUACCUUCUUCUUUGCUUCUCGUCCAAUUCGAAACCUUGCUUCAUCAUCAUGGUUAUCACUCCACCCCCUCCAAAGCCCCAAAACCCACUUCCUUUCCCAACUAUGAUGACCCAAAUUCAUCCCCAAGUUCAACAAGUGCUUCCUCU
rnacentral:misc_RNA from 1 species